UUGUGCCUUAUAGCACAAGAAAAACAAAGGCUGUAACAUCCCUCUUGUUAAGCCUCUGCUUGUUCCAGCUUCUUGCUUUCUCCUAACUUGUUUUGCCUUCCUCAGGACAAAAUUUUCUUCUCCUUACACCAUGUAAGAAAUCCUCUGCCUCAUCCUCAACGAGGACCACAUCCAAAGAGAAUCCAGCCCAACCAUGCAGUUGGACCUCCCCACUGGCACCAGAAUAAUCUCCCUGAAUCAGAGACAGAACUGGACCUCAGCUGCUCUUUACAGCUCGAACCUGCUGCUCCUGCUCUGGCAAGGACUGCCAUGACUGAGGAUCUCCAUCACUUCUGCCUCUCUUCCUGGUCCAGCCCUGCACCCAUAGACCUGCUGCAGAGCAAAAGCCAUUGCUUUCUGGCACUAAGCUGCUUCCUGAAGAUUGCACAGCAAGACAGAUCAGCUUCGAGGGGAGCUGAUCCAGGAGAGGACAUGGGGCCAAAAGAGCCUGAGGAGUCUGAAGAUGCAGCUUUAUCAGCUUAGCAAAAGGGCUGGUGCAUCGAAUGGCAAAGGCUGCAGGCCCUGUGUGCUUGAGGUCUGUGACAGAAGGCUCUGCACUAUUCCCACCACAGCCCAGACGCCCAUGGAAGGAUUAUUCCCCCAGCACCUCCCAACCCCCUGGUGCCAGCAGUCCCCCUGGAAUCCAUGCCUCUUUAUAAGGGGACACGAGGGAAUCUGUGGUGAGCAUCCUUACCCUCACCUCCUGCCUCUCCAAGCCCUUCCUGUUGCUGGCACUUCCACCCUCAGCAGCGGCUGCGCAGGAUCACGUCCCAGAGAGUCUGGCACGUCGUGUCGGGUGCAGAGGCAGGAGCUGGCGGGUGUGAUGUGACGUGAUGUGCCAGGCAAGCCCUGCCACGGAGCAGCCUGUGAGUGUGCAUCCCCUCAGAGCACCCCUGACCCACGUUGCUCCAGCUGAGGCUGAUGUCACCCCGUGAGCCGUGGCAUAUGGUGCUGGUCACGGGCUGGGGAUGAUUACUACAGCGAGUCUGGGGCACACUGGCUCGGGGCACUGGGUAACUCAUCUGUUCGGGUUAAAGACACUGAUUUGAGCAGCAGCUCCUCUCUGUCGUUUCUUUGUUAACUCUUUU